rnacentral:rRNA from 1 species
GACGAACGCUGGCGGCGUGCCUAAUACAUGCAAGUAGAACGCUGAAGGAGGAGCUUGCUUCUCUGGAUGAGUUGCGAACGGGUGAGUAACGCGUAGGUAACCUGCCUGGUAGCGGGGGAUAACUAUUGGAAACGAUAGCUAAUACCGCAUAAUAGUAGAUGUUGCAUGACAUUUGCUUAAAAGGUGCAAUUGCAUCACUACCAGAUGGACCUGCGUUGUAUUAGCUAGUUGGUGGGGUAACGGCUCACCGAGGCGACGAUACAUAGCCGACCUGAGAGGGUGAUCGGCCACACUGGGACUGAGACACGGCCCAGACUCCUACGGGAGGCAGCAGUAGGGAAUCUUCGGCAAUGGACGGAAGUCUGACCGAGCAACGCCGCGUGAGUGAAGAAGGUUUUCGGAUCGUAAAGCUCUGUUGUAAGAGAAGAACGAGUGUGAGAGUGGAAAGUUCACACUGUGACGGUAUCUUACCAGAAAGAGACGGCUAACUACGUG